UCCACAUGUUACCGUGCAUAUAUACAAUUUAAAUCCCUAUAAUUGCAAAAUGAAUUUUGUACAUGAAAAAGAUCUGAAUUAAGAAGAAGAAGCUUUUUAACAGUUUAUCAGAUAGAUCUCCAUUGUAAAAACUUAAGAUCAUUGCUUCAAAACGGACUUACAAGCAGUGACCCAGGAGAACUGGAUGAAAAAGAUGAAGAUGAAGAACAACAAGUUGAUAUUUUGGAACAAAACAAUACGGAACAGAAUUUUCCGGAACCGAAGACCCCGGAAGAACAUAAGAUAAAAAUGCGGAAAAGAGAAGAAUAUAACGGAAAUCCGGAGAAAAAGGAGACUGAGAAUAAGAUCAUGGAAGAGUGGCUGGAAUUUGAGAAAAUGUACAAACAUGAGAAGAACAGAGAAAAUGGAAUGGAUUCCUCCCCCUACUGUACGGAUAGUAUAAAACGGACAAGACGUGAAUCCCUUACAAGGUUUGCAACUGGAGCUAAAGAACAGAUAAUGAUGUUCCAAACUCCAACUCCAAUUAA